GAUGAACGCUGGCGGCGUGCCUAAUACAUGCAAGUCGAGCGAACAGACGAGGAGCUUGCUCCUCUGACGUUAGCGGCGGACGGGUGAGUAACACGUGGUUAAACUAACUAUAAGAAUGGGAUAACUACGGGAAACCGGCGCUAAUACCGGAUAAUAUAUUGAACCGAAUGGUUCAAUCGUGAAAGAAGGUUUUGGUGUAACUAACAGAUGGAUACGCACAGCAUUAGCUAGUUGGUAAGGUAAAGGCUUACCAAGGCAACGAUGCGUAGACGACCCGAGAGGGUGAUCGGGCACACUGGAACUGAGACACGGUCGAGACUCCUACGGGAGGCAGCAGUAGGGAAUCUUCCGCAAUGGACGAAAGCCUGACGGAGCAACGCCGCGUGAGUGAUGAAGGUCUUCUGAUCGUAAAACUCUGUUAUUAGGGAAGAACAAAUAUUUAAGUAACUAUGCACGUCUUGACGGUACCUAAUCAGAAAGCCACGGCUAACUACGUG
rnacentral:rRNA from 1 species